AUAUAUAUCAACUUAUAAUACCAUUCGUUACCUCAUUAACACACUAGUUAUACCCAUUAAGUACAUUAUCAAUAUUAGUAUAAUUUUAAUACGAUGGUAUAAUUAGGUACAUUAAAAAAAAAAUCCAAUUUCAUAAUAACAAUACCAGUAGAUACAUAUAUAUUAUAUGCAGGGAUAAUAGUACUAUAGUAGUAAUAAUAAUAAUAAUUUUAGUCAUAGAAAGUAUUAUACUAUUCCUGUCACAUAAUAUACAUCUAACAUAAACGUAGAAUCACACAACCACAUAUAUUACACAUAACACAUACAAUUCCUAACGGGAUUCUAGUUGUUGAUGGACAUUGUGAAUUACCUCGCACGCGUCCCAAGUAUAGCAAUAUCAACUAAAAGUCGCCUUCUACGAAGUUUCCGUCUACAACAAAUAAUAUUACCUAAAGUUAGUCACUUAUAUAAUAUCCCGAAAAAUAAUUAUUCAAAAUUACAAAAUUAAUAGUAAAUGACAAAGUCAAUAACCAAGGUUGCAAAGAACAAAUUUAAAAGCUUUGAAAACAAAAACGUGACAUAAGGAGAAUUUUUUUUUUCUUGAAAGUUGUUUCAACGUGACAGCAAGUCACGGAUCUCUUGUGGAAUUUGCUGCACAGGUAAUCUUUUCCUCUUUCUCUUUUUUUUUUUUUUUUGUAUUAAGACUUCUAAAGCUUGACAAACAAAUUUUUUUAGAACUGGUGCACGCAGCACGCAGCAGCGAGAAGCAGGAGGAAGAAAGGAAAGAAGAAAGAAGAAGACUGACGCCGGAUUCCGGCCAAGUCAUCAGACGACGUCGUAUGAAAAGGUGCGGACCAUUCUCAUGAUAGAUUCAUGUCUACCAUCUAAUUUACGGUGUAAACUUAGCAUGAAAGUAUGUAACAGUUGCAACAGAUGCAUGAAGAAAAGAAAUUGAUAAACGAAGACUUUGAAUAAAAGAAGAAUCAAGAAUGAAGUUCUAGUUUAUAAUUUCUUAGAAUAGUAACUUUAGAUUAAAAUGUAAUAUGCUCUAACUUAGUAAUAUGCUAUGUGUUAAAUAUAGAAAUAUAAAGUUAGUAUAGUUAUUAUUUUCUUAGAGUUAAGAAAGUAAAUAAUUAUAUUAAAAUUAUAUUUCUAUAUAAGAGGAAAUAGAUUUUCGAA